UCUCCGGAGUAGUGUACUGACUAGAGGCUCCCGAGUCAGACAAGAGAGUCGUCGAGUGUGUGUGUGUGUUUUUUUUUGUUGGCCAAAAGGGCCCCGUGACGUCAAUCGGUGGUGGAUCGGUAGAUUGCACCUUUUCGGGGGUCCGCAAGUUGGGCCGUGGAAAUCGCGGAAAGUUUUGUCGAAAAGAUUCGUAACAGAGUUCCCACGUUCGCCACGGAGAGUCUUUCCCAAACGGGGCCUUUCCACGUGCCACGAUGACCUGCGCCUCCAAAGAGUGCAUUUCUGAUUAGUAGAUGCAACGCGGGUCCCCUUUAGUGCUGAUUUAGUGCCAAUAUGGAAGGACAUCGUGGCGACUUGGACGUCCAAGCCAGCAGCAGUGUGGUGGAAAAGUUUGGUGAACUCCUCCUCAGCACUAACGUCGUCGUUGGUGGUGGUGUUGGUGUGGAGGAAAACCUCGCGCGGAAUAACGGAGGCGUGUGGUAGUGUGUUGCUUUUCCUAGCGCUGUCCCCGUGCGUUGGUGUGAGUGUGUGCUUUUGGUGGUGGUGGUGGUGGUGGUGUUGGGGAACGGCAAAAAGCUUUUGUGUGCAGCCCGUGAAAAUUUUCUCGGUUUUUCACCAACAUACUUGACGCGGAGCGGAAAAGUGUCGUCGUCUGGCGCAAGGUGGCCGAUUUUCGGGUGGAAAAUUUGCGAAAGUGGUUCAAAUUGGCACGCGGAGUUCAAGUUACGGGUUUCUGGUGCGGAGUUUCGGUGGAAAAUGGCCCCGCGAAGCUGGAAAAGGUGGCGAAAAAUCGCAGUGAAAAACUGGGCAUCGAUCCCAGGUUCGGUCGGUGGAGUUGGAAGUUGGUGAACGAGAAGCAGAAAAAAAAGAUGGAGCUGCUGGAGAGUGCUCCCUGUUGAGGGGUGUUUUCUAGACACGACACGGGGUUUUUCGUGCCAGAAAAGUUGUGCUGGAGGAAAAUAUGACGAUCGUGUGCGAUCUGGAGUGAUUUGAAUGGUGAAGAAAUCAGCAGUUUUAAAAGCAAGGCGAUGGCGAGGAUUUGUGAGCAGUCUCCAAAGGGAUAGUAUCAUGAGCCAAUACCCAGCUGUGCCAUGGAACUGAUAUCGAAGCUGUUUCCACCGUAGUGCACAAUGGCCGCCCUGCAAUCGCCGAUGCCGCUGCAACGCUAGCGAACACAACCCCGGGAAUGCCCUUCCGGGAUCACUGGACUGCGGAAUGUGGUUCGCUCGUGUUCGACUGCUGCGGGAAAAAGUGAAAAUGUUUAUCAAAACCAACCGUGAUUUACGUUUCUCAAGUGUAGCUAAUGGCGAAGACAAUGAUAACGAUAGCAGCGAGUAUCGGUUCUCAAAAUGUGAAACUAAACUGAAAAAAUACAAAGCGACGAACCGCGAUGAGCAGCACUUUCCCGUUGAAGAUAGUGGUCGGCGAGCUCACAAUGGUGCAACAAGAUACUGUCUAUAACGAAAACUUAAAUCAAGAUUACGACCAGCUGAGUUUAGUCGUGUAAAUAGUGUCAAGUGUGUAGUGUUGGUGUUGCGGUGGGGUUGGGUAGUAAUCGAUAAACACACCUGUGGAGUGUAAGAAACGAAAUAGUCACUAAGCCACGUUCACAGUUUGUGCUUCUUUUUAUGUUCUUCGAAGGAAGUGCAACAGAAAACGAAUUCGUCGAAACAUCAUUUCAACUAGAGAACAAAAACAAAACUGAUAAAGCAAACCUAAGUGAUAGGGAGAUCAAGCAGUGAAAUACGCUUGAUACCACAAUUUCAAACAUAACUAGGAUAUUACCAAAAUGGCCGAUAUGCCUGAUCUGUCGCAUCUGACACAGGAGGAACGUGCAAUCAUAGAAAAUGUUAUGCAACGACAACGACAGGAGGAGGAGCGGGAGAAUGAGAUCAUGCGGAGGAAGCAGGACGAGGUGGCGACCCUGGUCGACUCGAUCCGGCAAAAGUCGGAACAGCAGAAGAAGGCGGGCGUGGAACUGGACGCAACUUGUCACAUUUGCCUCAAAACAAAGUUCGCGGAUGGCAUCGGACACAUCUGCAACUAUUGCAACAUCCGCUGUUGUGCCAAAUGCGGGGGCAAAGUUACGCUGCGAAACAAUAAGGUGAUAUGGGUGUGCAUCGUUUGCCGGAAAAAGCAGGAACUAUUGUCGAAGACAGGCCAAUGGAUGAACAAAAGCACCAGUCCCGAUGGCGGGACGGUACGGCGGAUCGACGGAGAUCCACGGAUGUCCCAGACAAUGCUCGAUCCAUUCGAUCCCUCCGACAAGCGACCAAAGCUGGAACGGGCCCGGAGCGCGGCGGAAAAGGAAAACAACCCGAUGCAGCGCUCCGGAAGUCAACUGCGCCGCCAGUACUCCCAGCAGGAUCCACCCGUGCGCCGGAUGUCGCAGUCCGACAGCGGGGUGGACAUAUCCACGGGACCACAGCAGGCCCGGUUGCCGAUGCCCCGGAUGCACCCGGGCCAGGUCGGCCAGUACGGACAGCACCCGCAGCACCCCGGACUGCCGCAGCCACCGAUGCAACAGAAUCCGUACGGACACCACCAGUCGCACAUGAACCCCCAGGUGCAGAUCACCCGUCCGAGCGGAAACGUCAGCAUGGGUGGCUACGGCCAGGAGGAUCCCAGCUACUACCAGGGUGAAAUCGAAGACCUGAUGCGAAGCCAUCCGCACCUGGUCCACCCGCGCCAGCAGCAACACUACGCCGAAUCCAUGCAGUCCGGAGCGCCUAGCUACGGCAGCGGGAGUGGCAGCAGUGGCAUCGCGGAACCCAUGAAGAAGCAUAAACGUCCGAUGGGUGGACCGUACCUGCCCCAGCAGCGGUCCUUUAGCAGUUCCGACGAGGACAUCCGAUCGACGCCGGAAUACGAAGCCGGGCACCAAAAACAGUAUUUUGAUAAUCACUCUCGACUGAAUCCAAGCCUAACCGAUUACCGUGCAAGAAAGCUGGAUGUACAACAAAGAAAUAGCUAUAAUAGGACGAACCACAACCGGUACCAAAGUCAACAGUCUCAUUUCCAUAGCCAGCAGCCACUACCCCAGGUAGUGGUUGCCGAUAGCACCAUUACUUCUUCGGCGUACGAUAACAAUAAUCAUCACCACCACAGUAGUAGCCAUCAUCAGCAUAGUCACCAGUCAGUGCCGCAGUCCCAUCAAGUUCAUAAUAGCCAAUAUCAGUAUCAGCAACAGCAACAACAGAACAGCCGGUACAGCUCGAGUCCUGCCGUGGUCGGCGGCAAUGAGCAGCCGGAUCCGUACUGGGACGAGCCAACCGACAGCCGACGAUUCACCGAGCGAAGAAAGAAAACGGUGAGAUUCGAUGGGCAGGAGUCCGCCGACGACUGGGGCCGGUGGGAGUCGGAACGGCAGGGCAGCCAGGACUCGGCCACCAAGGAUUCUGGUAUCGAUACCAGCAGCACAUUCACGAGUAGCGAAGAUUCGAACCGCGGCGAUGGCCCCAAGAACCCGGUCAGUUGGCAAGUGUCGACCGAUGGCAGUCGUAUGAUCGGUCAUAUGGUACUGCAGCGAACUGUUGACGGCGAAGACGUUUUAGGACUCAAGGUACGCGGUGGCCAAGUGCUACCCAGUGACGAUAAGGCAGCUGCGUCGACGACAGCGGCGGCGAUCGUGGAACAGGUGCAGCGUGGGUUGAUUGCCGACCAGGAGGGACACAUCCGGCCAGGUGACGAAGUGGUUGAAUGGAACGGUCACUCAUUGCGUGGCAAAUCCGCACAAGACGUACACGAUAUUAUCACUGAUAGUGCGCUGGAACCAUUGGUAGAGUUGCUAUUGACACGUGCGAUCUUGAUCAAUCGCAAAAAUACACAAGCAUCCUGGCGAAAGUCUCAUUCCCCAACUCGACUCCCAGCGCAUCAAAGUGGAGAGAGCUACGAUCGGCGAGACAAGCCAAGCGUCCUGGUGACGUCUCCGGGAUCACCGGACUUGCACAGCGUCCGGAACUAUUCCGCGAACCUUCGAUACCCAAAUAGACUGACUCCGGCUGCGACUGCUGCCCAGCAGCAGCAACAACAGCACCACCACCACCACCACCAGGAGAACAGCGUUGGUGGCAGGGUACAAAUUAAGCUCGGCUUCGAUCCCAGCUCGCUGCAGCUGAUCGUGACCAUAGUGGGCGCCACCGAUCUGGUGUCGCGGCUCAACGGCGCCGCACGGAACCCUUACGCCAAAGUUUGUUUGCUUCCCGAUCGAAGCGAAAAGUCCAAACGGCGCACCAAAACCUUGGCACUGACUAACGACCCGCGCUGGGGCCAAACGUUCGUUUACGAAGGCUUCCGGCGGGCAGAUCUGCACAAUCGGCUGUUCGAAAUCACGCUGUGGGACUAUGUGCGCUACGGUGCCAACGAUUUUCUCGGUGAAGUGAUCAUUGAUCUGGCCAUACACCCCCUGGACGAUGAACCGGAAUGGUACACCCUGCAACCGCAUCAAGAGUCCUUGCGAGACACAUUGCGUAGAGACGAUAGAGAACCCGGCAACGAAUUGGAUAUGAUUUUAACCCCGACCGAUCAUUUAUCGCCACCGAGCACCACUUCGAGGUUGAGUGACUCAGACACGACUUCCGAAUGCGAUAUCGAUGGUCUGAUGACUGGACGUGACGGCGCUAGCGUAUCAUCCCUAGGAAGCUCAUCAAGUCCUCCACCAGAGGUUGAUCUACAGGAGCGGAGGUCACGGCGGGAUAUGUCACCGCAGGGCCGGAAACGAGUCGCUGGUAUGGUAGCAAAAGAUUACCGAACCGUGUCGGGUGUAGGACAAGGCUUCCACAAUCAAAUGAGUAAUGAGGCAUCUUCAUCCUACCGUCGAAACGGCACGAUGGCACUGAAUCAGCGCAGUCAGUCGGCGGCACCGAGUGAAAACUACCGGGACGAUCGCCGCGGGUCGCUGUCGCCGCAAGAUGAUAGAUAUACCGAAUAUCCAGUUCUUCCAUUACAUCAGUAUGCGCCAAGAUUUCAAUCACGAUCAGCGACUGCGACACCAACUGGUUCACCGAAGAAGCGACAAUUACCACAAGUACCUCACGUGUCACGAAAUGCGGCCAUGCGCGAACGUUUUAUACAGGACUUUGAGGAGCGCAGUGGAGGACGUUUUGCACGGCACCGGGGCCGCCAAAGCCAUCAUCAGCCAACGUAUCGGAGUACGGGAAUGGGAGGUAAUGCAGGCUGGGAGCGACACUAUUCUGGACUGUCCGACAGUGAUCUGACGACACAUUCAUUAGAAAGUAGAUCUAGACCUAGACACUCAUUAUCUCCGGAUAAGGACUUCAUGGGUGAUUUUGGCGAUUCCGAUAUGGAGUCAGUAGUUAGUGUUACUUCAAGUGCUUUUUCAACUCAGUCGGAGCGACCGCGUGGAUCAAAAGGGAUUAGGAACUUAAAUCAGAGGCGUCUACAGCAUAGAAGCCUUCCAACUGGCUGGGCCACUACUUCUCUGUGCGCUCUUCCAAGCGAGUCUCCAUUCGAGCCACCAGUCAGCGAGCCGGAACAAGUCACAACACUUCCCGCUAUUCCGAUUCCCAAAACAAUCCCACCCAGCUUCGAUGUUAUCCCCGAAUCAAAUCCUAAUCUUCCGUACGAGAAUCCCCGUCCCGUAACGACCGAAUAUUCUAACGCUCCCUCGCUCGUCAAUCCCUCCGAUAGUGUUGUUGUUCCCGUUGCUUCCGAAGACUGCAAGCUUGUUUCUAGCCAACCCUAUUCGUCGUACACUCCCUUUCCUGUUGUCGAUCCUCCUAGUUCGUACUACAGCGAACAGUGUAUUACUCUCAAUCCCGAAAGGAGUAGCAUCCAAAGCUUUGUGGUAAACCCUAGUAGUGACAAUGUAAUGACGACUUCCCUUAAUCUUUCGAACACGACAUCGACAGAGCCAUCCUCCCUGGAGUUUAAAACUGGUUCGGUUCCACUGGGAAGAUACCUUGAGUACGGACAACAAAAUCAGAAUCAAAUGACUAGCUCGUUGCAGGGAGAUUCGUUCUACAACAAUCCUAAUCCCGUGAACUACGGCAAUACAAGACGGCAAUCGCAGGUCGCGAGGUACAAUACUUCGGAGCCCAAUCUGAACAUCGCAAACGUUGGACGCCGCAUGUCUCGUGAUCCGCAAAACUUGAGAAAUCAAUCGGUGUCUAUUUCGAACCGAUACAUUCCGGGUCAUAACGAAUGUGCUGGUCCAAGUUCGAACCAAAUUAUUCUGAAAUCGUCGUUCUCUGAUCAAAAUCUGCAGAAUAGUAUCGUGUAUGAGCAAAGUAACGCUCAGUCGGGAAACAUUUCCAUCUCAAAUGUGUACGAUCGCUCCUCGGGCAUGAAGAAUCAAACCAUUACUUGUAUUCGUAAUAACGCGGACCAACCGACCGCUAACAAUAUUCGUUACACGAGUAACCAGGAGGGAAUGACUUGUGAAUUCUCCGGCUCAGCCUUGCAGUUCCGAUCUUCGAUAGGAAGCCUUACCGAUUUGCACAGCAGUGGUCAGUCGUAUACGAAUGCUCCGAUGAUUGCAGCUCCACCACCGAAUCGUAUCGAUUACGGUAGGCAGCAUAUUGAAGAGUACGAAGUAAGCGAUUUGGAAUCCAAUGUUGGCGCUGUGCUUCGGAAGCCUGCAGCGAAAUCACCCAGUGAUGCUCAUUUCUAUGGGCGAAGGGAUACCGGUUACAAGGAAACUUACCUUGGUGAGGGCGUAUACAAACAAAAGGACAAGAUAAGCCGAUCGCACUCACUUAUUGCAAAGGAUCAAAUAAUCGACAUCGAGUACGAUUCGGAUACCGGUUAUAAAACGAAAAGUGUUCGACAGAAUGUGUUUGCCAGUCAGAUGGAAGAAAAGAUUUAUCGCAAACGUACUAGAUCACUCGAAGGCAAUGAUCAGUUGGACGAUAGAGCAAGCGACAAGAAGUCCGAUCAGUUUGGAUCGAGAUCCAGCUUGGAGAAGAGCAGUAUGACUCUGGACAUAGCGAAGAACGUCGAAAAACCAGAGGCAGCUCAAGCGAAGCUUGUUGUUGAUCAUACCAAGAAAAAGAAACAGGAAGAACCGGCUAAAACUGAGAGCAAAAAGAACACUAAAUCUCCAGCGAAAACUGGUACUCCCAAAAAGGGCAGUAAACCUGUGAAGAAACCAUCCAGUACUACAUCGUUGAACCGAACUGGAUCGGCUAAAAGUAAAGCUCCACCCUCGAAAGGCCCUCCUGCGAAAGGUAAAGUCGCAGAUAAACCAAAAUUCAAGGAAGUUGAUCCCAAAAAGACGGACAGCAAACUUAGCAAACAACAGUCCAACAGUAAAACUCGAGUCAGCGAGAUCAAGGGUGAUGCAGAACAUCACAGCAGCUCCGAGUCGAUCAAGUCGAUCAUCGAAGAGGUACGGAUGGAGUUGCUGCAGAAGCCGAAGCAGUCCACCUAUUUGAGCGACGAAAGUCCCACCUUUCUGAACCGAAGCCAUUCGUUCAGCGAUGGAGAGUUGAGUCGGAACCAGCGGGUUCGCGACAAUUACGACAAGUACGAGUUUAUUGAGGGACGCAAGCAUUACAUAAUCAAAGAGGACAAGUUGAAGUAUAGUCGGGAUGAUCGAGAACGGGUUUAUGACUAUGAUGACGAUCGAGCUGGUCCCAGCCAUAGAGGUAGAAGGGGGGCUUCGGAGCAUCGGGAGGACAAGCGAUCAAGUGAACCGUUUUUGAAGUGCGGAGAUCGUCGCUCGAGUACGAUGUCCGAGGAUGGUCGGGCAGGUCAGAACGACAGUGAGGAUGAGGUGUCCGAUGAUGACGUGUUCGAAAGUCCCUUUUCGCGCGGUAGGAACUCGUCAUUCAAUGGUAAAUCCUCUAGCAAGCGCAGAUCUCGGUACGACACUCGUCGUACCAGUAGCUUGGAAGAUUUGAAACGAUUCAUUGCGAAUCAGCAGGAGAAAGACGCGAUCGCUAGUAGUAGGAGUGACACAACUAGGCACAGCUCGGUUAGCAUUAACGAAAAGCCAGAGUACUUUGAGUAUAGCAAGUCUCCUUCGUCCCCUCGGCCCAAGUCUAGUGGUAGAAGUGCUAAUAAUGCUUCCAAUCGUUCCAAAUCCUCCAACGGUAUCGCCCUUCUGCAAACCGAACCGAAACGCACCUCGUUGAAAAAAUCCACGACCACGUCCUCGUCGGUCGGCGUCUGCGGUGGCUCGUCGUCAUCGAUUGCUCCGAAACACGGCAACGCACGGAAUCGUCCCGACCGACCCAAAAGCGACUACGACAUGAGAGAUCGGGGCCGGUACGGAGGACGGGACGCGUACCGGCAGCGGGAUCGGGACCGCAACAACAGUGAUCAUGAGCGGGACCGUGAUCUGAGUGAUCGAGAACAACGAGAAUCGCGGGAGCGCGCGGAACUGGACCGAAGUCUUUCGAACAAUGAGGGCACGCCCGAGGACAAGAUUGAUGGCAGCCUAAGCGACACGGCGGUGAUACAGAGCUUGGACUCGCGGCGCAAGUUGGACCAGCGGUCGCCCAAGAGUGAGACCCCGACGCGGGACCGGGACCGCUUCGGCGCCGGCAUGGGCAAGAAAAGCAGCUCGACGUCCCAGCUCUCGGCAACAGACCAAGGAAUCUCGCCAUCGUCCUCGUCAUCCACGUCCACGCAACGCAAACGCUCGUCGGCCGGAUCGAUCCAACGAUCCGUCGAGGUGACACCGACUCCGUCACAGUCGGCCGCCUAUCGGGCCGGAAGUUUACAUUCAAUCUCUAGCUCCGAGGGUUCCUCAUGGUCACCGUCCCUGCGGGUGGCCGGCGACACGGGACCCCUGUCGGACUUCAUCGAAGGUUUGGGACCAGGACAGCUCGUCGGGCGCCAGGUACUGGGUGCUCCUGCCUUAGGUGAUAUUCAACUGUCUAUGUGCUAUCAGAAGGGUUCCUUAGAAGUUGAAGUGAUAAGAGCGAGAGGAUUGCAGGCACGUCCUGGCUCAAAAGUACUUCCAGCGCCUUAUGUUAAAGUGUAUUUAGUUUCCGGUAAAAAAUGUAUAGAAAAAGCUAAAACAACGACUGCUAGGAAAACGUUAGAUCCAUUAUAUCAACAACAAUUAGUGUUUAGAGAACCAUUUGCUGGCUGCAUAUUACAAGUGACGGUUUGGGGUGACUACGGACGGAUGGAAGGCAAGAAAGUGUUCAUGGGUGUAGCUCAAAUCAUGCUGGACAACCUGAACCUAUCACAUAUUGUCAUCGGGUGGUACAAACUGUUCGGAACCACAUCACUGGUCAGUGGACCACCUAGUCUGGGUCUAUCUAGGCGAUCCUCAAUUGCAUCACUCGAUUCACUUAAGCUGUAAAACUCAUUAAACAUCACCACUGUGUUUAUUUAUUUUUCGUUUGAUAAAACUCCUCCCUCUUCGGUAUCGUUGUUUUUAUUUGGGUUUUGUUUUCCUGUGAGAUUUGAUUCCUGUCCGUACAAACUUGCGUUCCGUACUAUGAGAUAGUUCGAUGUGAGAUUUUCAAAGUUUCCCGACUAGCCACUUCGUUUUGCCCAACUUCGGCAAAACGAAACACUUAGCUGCAGAAUAGCAUUCCAAGAAGAGACUGCAUAGAAUAGCGUUUUCACUCUGUUGUGAAUGGUUUUCUCUUCAGUAAACGAUUUCUAGUUAAAUAUAGCGAAAAAACAGUUACCAUACACGUUGCCAUCCAAACGAGUCUACCGGUCGUAGCAGUAAAUCGUCUGGCAACACUGACUACGGAAGGAUUUCUAGCCUUGGAUGUAAAUCGGUAUGGAAGUAGUGCAGAUUUCAGUUAUAUUUGUCUGGUAGCUAACUAAUUUGCUCGUUACGGUAUUGAACAAGAAAUGCCAAAAUUUUACCAAAAUCCCAACAGCAGUGCUCCCAGUUCUCAAAGUACGCAUUCCUUCCAACAAAACGAUGCCCCUCCAACCCUUAGUUCUAGUUCGUCCACAGUUUGUCCCGUUUGCCGUAUUAGUUCCGUCAAUUUACGUUUAGUACCCCCUAAUCAUUACCUAUAUCUUUGUUCGAUGGAAGCAAAAUCACCUUCAAACUAAUAGUGUGUGCCCACUCUCACUGAAAACUUUUCCCCCUCCUCCCUGUUGUAACUGUCCCCGAUCGCUGUCUCAUCUGAAUCGGGUGUCUUGAAUAUAAAAGCUAGAGUAAUGCAAUGAGAAUCUAUGAAAAAAAAAAACUAGGAGUGUUUUAGUUAAUCAUAGUAAAAAUAACCUUAAAAAACCUCAGCAUAAGUUUAAUCGGCGAACCUACUUUCUGGUUUACAAAAUCCGAAUUCUUAUUUCACGUACAAUCCAGACCACAUCAGUUAGUGCUAGGAAGCCAACAAAUACAACAACAACAACAAAGAAAAAAAAACCAACAGCAACAACAACAACCGAUCGUAACGGCAACAUGUUCCAGUAUAGGAGAGUAGGCUAACAAAAAUCAAUAUAGAAUUAUCAAAUUCAACCCAUGCAUAUGGACGACAUGUGUUGAUCGAUUGUGUAAUUGAGAGCAAAAAAAGAAGAAGAGGAUGAAAAAACAGCAAAUAAAAAUCACACUCACACAUGAGUACGGAGAGCGAGAGCAAUUUUCAGAUUUUUUCGCGUAUUUAUUAAGAGCAAAAAGUACAUCUAAGGAAAAAAUGAAACUCAAAUCUGUGAAUUUAUUAAACUAAUAUUUAAAUCAGUAAAAUACAAUUCAUCAAACAAAGAAAUUUACAGCAUCAGAACAAAACAAAAGUCACGACAAAGAGAGUUAAAGCUACUUUGUAAAAAGAUGAAACAAAUAAUCAAGCCUUCCAUUAUAUUUAUGAUACAAGGAACAUUUAAUUAUUAUUAAUCAAUUUAUCAAAACAAAAUCUUGACAUAAAUUGCAUAUGCUCCUACGAAUUCAUCAUUCCAAAUCAUUUUAUUACAAGUUCCAACAAACAUAAAGAAAAAAAAAAACAAAAUGAAUUCGUUUACUCUAAAAUAAUUUUCGCCAAAUUGACACGCAUUUUCAUGUAAUUUUCUCUUUCCUAUUUCUCAUAAAUCUCAUAAGACUAUAAAUAAAAACAAGCGACCGCCACUUAGUGUACAGCUGGUAUGGAACAGGAAAAACCAAACUUUUUCAUAUAAAAAAAAAACAAAAUAAUUCAUUGAAGGAAACCAAAUUUGUAAAUCUAUUAUAAAGAAAACCUAACAAAUGAAGCAAAGAAAUGUAAAUAUUACUUAAACUAACAAAAAAAAAAACUAUCGAACAAAACAAACGAAGCUGUAGCAAAAACAAGUCAAACACACACACACACUUACAGAAACACCUACGCUCACAGACACAUACACACACGGGAUACACUUUUCAACAGCAUUCAGAAAUGUUAAUCGAAGGGAAAACAGCAUAUGCAUUUUGCCUUAGACUCCUAGCAGAAAAGCGCUGAAUUCGAGGCUCGGUUGUCAAAUUUAUCAAAUCUUGCUGCAAAAAUUUGGAGACGAUUAAAAAAAUCCCCCGCGAACUUUCUAAUGGAUUCAACGUGAAUCUCACUGAUAUUAUUUAUUUAAUAAAAUUUUCAAUCACUUUUAACGGUGUUUGACGUUUUAGCCUUGAAUGUAUAAGUGAGAUCGAAAGUUCUCCUGAAAACCGCCAAUAACUCAUUCCUCGGGCUAUCAUUUUACAAAUAACUCAGGCAUGAGAAAUGAGAGACUCGGUACUUUCAACUUUCUCUCCUACGUGAGUGCUCAGCGAAACUCUUUUGACGAAGACUCUUCCAUCGCUGGCCUUUGUUUUGUUAGGAAAAAUGAAAUCAUCCAAAUUUAUGUUAAAAGUUUAAAGUGGGAAUCUGAUCGAACUCUGUUCGUAAUAAUUUUAGAGUGAUUCAGAAUUAAAACUUUGAAAAAAUAUUUUUCUUUAUUUAUUGAGCUCCUAUUUGACUGAUAUUUAACGCAGGAGAGAGGCUUUCCUUUGUCUCUUUCGAAAUUCUCUUACAACGAGUGUGCAGUCACAAAUUUUUCAAUAGAAAAGUGAAAAAUGUGAAAUGGCAGGAGGUCCGAAUUCAAUGCUAGCGAGGAGAGCAACACUGUAGGAGCAAAAAGCGAUUUAUUGACAGGACUUAAUUUGCGCGAGAGACCGAAACAUUUUGUGAACGACAGAACAGAUUCUUAACAAAACAACAUAUUUAUCUUUAAACAAACAACAAGCCAAAACCAUAUCUUUAAUAUAAGAACACUUUAAAGGAUUAAUUGACUUAAAUGAUUAAAACAUGAACAACAACCGCAGAAGAGUAACGAGAAAGUAUGAUUUGAAAUAAAACACAUAAAUGGAAGCUUCUUGGGAAUUGACACUCAACUUUAUUAACAGCGAAGAUCGACGAUAUAACAAAAAUGGAUAUGGAUUGAACAAAGGACAUAUUUUUUAUAACAGCAUUACGGACUCUAUAAAACAGAAAAAAUCAAAAGAAUACGUCAUGCGAAGUAUGUGCAGCGAUGAAUCAUAUGACCCUCUAGGUAAAGGUUAGGAAAAAAUCAGUUAGAAAUUGUAACUAAUUGCGUUCAAGAAGCUAAAGAAAAACAACGUUUGGUUAAAAAAAAAAGUAUCGAUGAUGUAUUUUUUCACACCGACAGCGUUAACGAACGUCAUAUCACGAACAUAUUUUUUGAAAUUUUGUUUGGAGAACCAGUUCUAUUAAUUACCAUCUCCUUCAGGUUAUCAAUCACUGUUUUGGCUGGUGAGUGACCAUUUUAAAUUAUGAAGUAAGAUUUACAACAAGUUGAUUUUGAUAAAUUUUAUCAAUUGUUGAUGCUGUUUUCAUCUCGAAGCUAAUUUCUUAAUCAUAUACUUAUUCGUUUGUUCUGCCUCUUCAAAAAACCCAUUGCUAUUUGUAUUUAAACAACGAAGUGUUUGUUUCUGCUUUUCCAAAGGUAGAUAACACUACAUAAUGGGACAUUUAGGCAGAGAACUCCCCAAUCCGCGAGUGUGUUGUUUCCACACAGCAUUAGUGAGACAAAUUUGCAUUAGCAUCUCAGAUCCGUCCAUUGAUUCUUGCGACAGGCUUCUCGUACGUUUCCUUGAUCUUCAGAAGUGCCAGCAUUUCUCAACUGGCUAAAACCAUAUUUGCUACAAACUUUCCAGAUUUCAAUUUCGUUUGCUUGCCCUAUUUCUGAUUUCUCAGGCCGGUUAUGAUUGAAGAUUUCAAUAUUGAUAGUAAUAAAAAUUAACUGCACAGAUUUGGCUUGGCGAACGGCGAAAAAGUUAUGAAUAAUCUCAGUAAGCAAAUAACUUAUAUACGGAUAACAAAGGCCUAUUGAUAGUAGUUGAUUUGAACUCCAAUCAACUCACACAGUGUAUGAAUUUGGUUUGUAAUUAAUUAAAAAAAACUGGAACAUAAACACAGAAUAUUCAUACCCUAUUACUACAUUCUUCAGAAUGACUACAUUCCCGCAUCCGGAUCAUUUGAAAAUAUGUGGCCAUAAAUUCUUUAAAAAAAGGGUUUCAUUUGUCAUCUCGUGCACUUAACCUCCAACACAGAUGUAUGGAAGCUACAAUUCUACCCCAUUCACAUUAACCGACAUCUUUCUUCCAGAAAAGCAUACGGCACACGAAAUAGAGCAAACCGAAGAAAAAAUAAACAGAACGAAAACACACAUACACACACAUUUUGACGGAUUAAAGUUAGGAUGGGAAAGCGGAGAAAAUGGGCUGGGAACACUCCAUUGCGAAGAUAUGAAAAUAUUUGUAUAAAUUUGGGAAACAGAUAAGUUUUAAUUAUUUUAUUAGAGAUAAGUAUUGUUAAGCAACUAUUCAAAACAAUGGAAAACAAACCAGAGAAUAGCGAAAUGGGAGACAGAAAACCAAAAUAUAUUAAUUUAGAAAAAUUAAUUUAUAAAUAUACAGAUUGAUUAAAAACAAGAAGAUGAAACAAAACGCGAUUACUAAGAAAACAAAACUUCAAACUAGGAACAUGAGCGGUCGUACGCGAGGAGAAAGGGAGAGAAAAAAGAAAACAAGAAACAUGAACAUAAUUCAAGAGAAUAUUGUAAAUUAAAAUUUCUAUUAUUAUUAAACCAUAUAUAAAUAUAC